AGUGAACGCUGGCGGUAGGCCUAACACAUGCAAGUCGAACGGCAGCACAGUAAGAGCUUGCUCUUACGGGUGUCGAGUGGCGGACGGGUGAGUAAGACAUCGGAAUCUACUUUUUCGUGGGUGAUAACGUAGGGAAACGUACGCUAAUACCGCAUACGACCUACGGGUGAAAGCAGGGGAUCUUCGGACCUUUCGCGAUUGAAUGAGCCGAUGUCGGAUUAGCUAGUUGGCGGGGUAGAGGGCCACCAAGGCGACGAUCCGUAGCUGGUCUGAGAGGAUGAUCAGCCACACUGGAACUGAGAAUCGGUCCACACUCCUACGGGAGGAAGCAGUGGGGAAUAUUGGACAAUGGGCGAAAGCCUGAUACAGCCAUACCGCGUAGGUGAAGAAGGCCUUAGGGUUGUAAAGCCCUUUUGUUGGGAAAGAAGAACAGCAGUUUAAUACCCCGCUGUUCUGACGGUACCCAAAGAAUAAGCACCGGCUAACUUCGUG
rnacentral:rRNA from 1 species